CCUGACAAAAAAUAAUCCCGGGGAAAAUUUUUUGGACUGACGCAGUGCUCAGCUUCUGGACGUUGCGUCGGAAAGUUUCAUGAACCUUAUCACUUAGAGGAAGGAGAAGUCGUAACAAGGUUUCCGUAGGUGAACCUGCGGAAGGAUCAUUC
rnacentral:rRNA from 1 species